UUCACGGUAUUGCAAUGAGAACAAUUUAAAACCCUUAGCGAGAAUCAAGUGGAGGACAAGUCUGGUGCCAGCACCCGCGGUAAUUCCAGCUCCACUAGCGUAUAUUAAAGUUGUUGCAGUUAAAAAGCUCGUAGUUGAACCUCUGUCUGGGGCUAGUUUUGGCUUUGGUCAGGCUAGUUCUAGGCAUCCGCCUACAAGACUUAGAGGGCAUUCAGUUGUUCACUAGGAGGAGUAGGCAUUUUACUUUGAAAAAAUUAGAGUGUUUAAGGCAGGCAAUCGCCCGCAUAUAUUAGCAUGGAAUAAUAGAAUAGGACACUUUUCCAUUUCGUUGGUUAUUGGAAUCGUGUAAUGAUUAAUAGGGACAGUUGUGGGCAUUUGUAUUUAAUUGUCAGAGGUGAAAUUCUUGGAUUUAUUAAAGACAAACUAACGCGAAAGCAUUUGCCAAGGAUGUUUUCAUUAAUCAAGAACGAAAGUUAGGGGAUCAAAGACGAUCAGAUACCGUCCUAGUCUUAACUAUAAACUAUUCCGACUCAAUGUUUGACUGGCUUAUAUAACCAGUUGAGCGUUGUAUGAGAAAUCAAAGUCUUUAGGUUCUGGGGGGAGUAUGGUUGCAAAGCUGAAACUUAAAGGAAUUGACGGAAGAGCACAACCAGGAGUGGAUUCUGCGGCUUAAUUUGACUCAACACGGGGAAACUUACCAGGUUAAAACAAUAGUGGGAUUGACAGUUUGAGAGCGCUUUCUUGAUUGGUUGGGUGGUGGUGUAUGGCCGUUCUUAGUUGGUGGAGUGAUUUGUCUGCUUAAUUGCGUUAACGAACGAGACCUUAACCUGCUUACUAGACUGGCGAUCAUCAAUCGUUAGCUCUUCUUAGAGGGACUUUGGUUGUUUUAACUCCAAGGAAGUUUGAGGCAAUAACAGGUCUGUGAUGCCCUUAGAUAUCCUGGGCCGCACGCGUCAUACAAUGACUAGUUCAGAAAGUUUUCUCCUGACCCGAAAGGGGAUGGGUAAUCUUGAUAAUACUAGUCGUGUUAGGGAUCGAUCUUUGCAAUUAUAGAUCUUGAACGAGGAAUUCCUAGUAAGUGCGGUUCAUCAGACCGUACUGAUUACGUCCCUGCUCUUUGUACACACCGCCCGUCGCUUCUACCGAGUGGGUGGUCCGGUGAGAUAAUUGAACUUCGCAGGUAACUGAGAGGAAAGAUUAUCAAACCUAUCCACCU
rnacentral:rRNA from 1 species